rnacentral:rRNA from 1 species
UACGUAGGUGGCAAGCGUUAUCCGGAAUUAUUGGGCGUAAAGCGCGCGCAGGCGGUUUCUUAAGUCUGAUGUGAAAGCCCACGGCUCAACCGUGGAGGGUCAUUGGAAACUGGGGAACUUGAGUGCAGAAGAGAAAAGCGGAAUUCCACGUGUAGCGGUGAAAUGCGUAGAGAUGUGGAGGAACACCAGUGGCGAAAGCGGCUUUUUGGUCUGUAACUGACGCUGAGGCGCGAAAGCGUGGGGAGCAAACAGG